UCUGUCAGUAACAAACGGUACUCCUGAGACAUGUCUGACCUGACAUCAGUGAUAUUAAUGAGAAACACCGCUGUCUUAAUUUGAACUCUCAGAGGUCCUUACAACCUCACUUAUCAGUGUCAGUCUUCAUCACUACACCCUUUCUCUCACUCACAUGACAUCCAGUCUCCCACCUGCAAAUCCUAAUAUAUUCCAGGGUUCCCACUGAUCCUGUAAUUGAAUAGCAUUGAUUUUUGGAUGGUAUUUUCUUCCUUUUUCAAGGCAGAAUACCUACAGUGCAACCCUGGUUUUCAUGGUUUUGAUAUGAGAUUCAAGUGUUUAUCUGCAGUUUAAUCAUGUUUUUAUUUAGUUUGGAUUACUGGAGAUGAAUGUCUGUGUGAUGUUUUGUAAUACACUUGUCAUAUAUCCCCUUGUAGUUAAACAGUAUAGUGUUUUAAAUCCCUGCCCGGGGUCUGGGACUAGUGAUUAUCAAAAUUAUGACUUCAAUACGAAACCUGCCUAAAUUCAUCAAUACCACAGCAAAAAGUAAUGUAGUAACAAAGGAGAGAGCGUGACACUGAAAAUAAAUUUUCUAUCAAUUAUAUUCAAUGGAUAUUAAAUAUUUAAUAAAAAAUGUAACAUUGCUGUGUUUGAAGCCAACAGACCCUCUUUCACUGGACCACUCGGUUCCUACCCAGAUUUUUGAGCGCUAAGCAAUCACAUUAAUCACAUUAAAAACAAGAAAAGCACUCAGAGAGUACACUACUCCUCCAAGGCUGCUCAGUCCUUGCAUGAUUUCCGACAAAUUUGUGGUCCACAGCGGUGGAUUUGUAGUAGGAUCACAAUCGUGAUCGUCAACAGGCAGCUGACGUAGUGUUCACUUGUUGUCAUGGUUACAGUGACGCCGUGCCGCUAUCUGGCAAUGAUACAGAAAUCUUUAACAAAUCCGUGGAUCCAGACUAUAAGCUGCAUCACUGUCAAAAUCUAAUCACUUGGUCCUUGUGUCAUUUCUGACCUUCCCUGAAAAUUUAAUCCAAAUCUGUUUGUCUGUUUUUGAGUAAUGUUGCUAACAGACAGACAGACAGACAGACAGACAGACAGACAGACAGACAGACAGACAGACAGACAGACAGACAGACAGACAGACAGACAGACAGACAGACAGACAGACAGACAGACAGACAGACAGACAGACAGACCAAUGCCGAUCGUCACAUAAUUCCACUGUGAUCCUUGGAGGAGUAACAAUUUAGACUGUAGACUAUUUUUAGUGAACCUUUUCUCAUUUUUAAAUGUAAUUUGACUAAAAAGAAAACUAGAAUAUGCUCAGAGUGCAGACCUCUGCCAAGGCCGUCUGUUGACUGCAGUCAUUUGUGUUUAGUCUGCUUUAGUGCACAACGGCAGGGUGCAGGCUAAUACACCUGGGUGUGUGCUUCAUCACCAUGAAGUGCCAGACUUACAGUUAGUCAUUUAUUAUAUUCAUGCUCAAUAGAAUUAUUUGUGCUAUGUGCUGUUAAAUGUUUUCUUGUUUGUUUGCCCUUUCAUAUGUUUUUAUCAUAUGUGUGUUUUUGACAAAGUAUUAUUAUAUAAACAUUAAGUGGAUUAUUACAAAAAUUUGAUUACACUCAGCGUUAACACUUUUACAUGGUUUGCAGUGAUCUGAUGUCCUCUGUAUAUUAUGUAAUUUCUGUUAUAGUCACCUUAGAUUUGAAACUAGAUAUCAGUUAUUAUACAGCAUUUAAUAGACUUGGUUCACCUCUAGUGAGUGCAUCUUUUGGUCAUAGAGGUCAUUUUUGACCAAAACGUACAUGCCACAUUUACUAUUACUAUAGUAAUAGUGUAAUAUUGUUGAUCUGGGGCGGCACGGUGGAGCAGUGGUUAGCAAGGUCGCUUCACAAUGUGAAAAUCCUGGGUUCAAAUCUUUCUGAAUGGAGUUUGCAUGUUUUCCCUGUGUGGGUUUUGCUCAGGCUUCCACCCACAGUCCACAGACAUACUGAGGUUAAUUGGUGAUUCAAAAAUUGUCCAAUAUAAUUGUCCAAAAUAUUUCUCCACACACUGAUGCAAAUAUUAAACAGAUAUGCAUGCUUUUUAUACGGUUUUUGUAACAGAAUGAUUUGUCCACGGGGUACCGUACAGUUAAAUGCCUCUAGCAAACAGCAUGUCAACUACUGUCACAACAUAAAAAUGGAACGGCUUCUCACUGCUGAUUGGUCAGAGCAAAACACAGUGUUCUCUGUCCAAACAAGAAAUCAGGCAAUACUAAUCAAUUUUUUUCUCAGAUCUUUGAUUAUGUGAGUGGACAUUGCUUGGGAAACAUCACAAGUCAGGAAAUUUAGAAUACAGUGGCACAAGUGGGAGUAGGUAUUUUCUUUCCCUGUUAGUACACCUUUAAUUUUCAAUAGCUGAUCCUCGAGGCUUUUCUUUUCAGCCAUGGUCAACAUAAUUCAAACACUCAUUUUCUGUUUGAAUUUUACUCUGCUGCACAGUUGUACUGCAGUGUAAAACUCAUAACCCCUCACCCAGGAGACAUUGGUGUUUACAGCAGCAUAUGCAAGCUUACAUAAAACAUAUAAAAGUCCCCGUCCUAGAGGAACCUCAUACCAGAAGACAUUUGGUGGCCUGCAGCCUGCUUUAUGUUGCAUAAUGUGGUCAGGAUGCACCAUUGACAUGUACACCAUAUGCAUCCUUUACCCAUUUGUGUGGUGGUGGUCUUGUAAGUGCACCACAGAUCAUAUCUGCUGCGUAGCCUGGUAACCCCUCGCUGACAGAUGCUGUCACCAUGCUGCUCUGUCAGAAUGCGGUUGCCUGAGUGGAUCAAAAUAACCACGUCCCCCCGUGCCAUCAGUCGGACCAGCCCUUAUCGCCUUCCCUACCGCUUCUUUUUCAGCACACACAGUCUGAGUUUAUGUCUGCUCCAUGGCACCCAGGAGACAGCCUCCCAGCAAUAAAAUGUAAGCGGUAUCCAUGGUGCUUCUUGUGAGAGGAACAUAGCGGGAGUUGCGACGAACCAACAUCCAUCCAUCCAUUAUAUACACUGCUUAAUCCUCAUUAGGGUUACAGGGGGGCUGGAGUCUAUCCCAGCUGACUUAGGGUGUUUUUGGACUGUGGGAGGAAGCCGGAGAACCUGGAGAAAACCCACGCAUGCACAGGGAGAACAUGCAAACUCCAUGCAGAAGGAUCCUGGGAAGGCGGGGAUGUGAACCGGUUACCUUCAGGCUGCAAGGCGACAGCGCUAACCAUCAAUGCUAAUUGGCUUUCAUCGGGAUUCGUCUGUGUAACCGUACUCUGAGGGAUAAUUGUCACUCUGUGGCUAAGCUACAAAUUACAGUAAUGGAACUGAUACUGUUGUUUCCCUGGAAGAUGAAGAAAAACACAGUGAGAAUGAAAUGAUGGCAGAUCUGCUGAUGACUUGAGCUAAUGAUGAUUUAAUCAUGUUAAGUGUGCAUUCAAGCCAAGCAACUUGGAAUUGAUUGAAAUAAACGUUUAGAGCAUCUUUCCCUGUAGCAUGUUUCAUUUUCAAGGUGACAACAAUGCUGUUCAUACUGAGCGAGUACUGAAUCACCACACACUAAUGCUCGAAACUAUUAACCUUGUUUUUUCUACCUGCAAAUAUACCUGCAAUGCUGUUCAUAAAGAAUGUGAACAUAAUCCGAAGCAACCACAGGAAACGUCCUCAAUGUGAACGUUUUUAAGGGUAAUGAAGAGAUGGACAUCGGAUAGCCAGUAGUUACUCAUGUUUGAAAAGGUUAGCAAAACAAAAUGAACCAAAGGGAAACCACACCACAGUGUGCACUGAUGCUUAUAUUUUCAGCAUUUUUCAUGUGUGUUUCACUGAUAGGAACACAGAGGGAAUUAUAUCAUUGCAAAAAGUACAGAUGAGUCCAUCAUGCUUAGCUAAAUUACAGGAGGGAUUUGUUAUGAUUGUUCGUCCUGACCUCUUUAAGCACCGUUCAUGAGUUAAUGCUGAUUUUUGGUUGGAAGCCCUAAUAUGUUGUUUCAUACAAAGUACUCCCACAAUGAUUUUUUUUCCACUGUUUCAAGAAAACUAGCUAUAAACAUUUAAAUCCUGACAAACAUGGUCUUUACAGGAGCCUGAAAGGGCCGUCAGUUAUUCUUGACCUCCUGUGAACAAUAGUUCACGAAACAGUUUCCCUUCAAGAUCCGCUUACUUGCUAUUUCUGGAACUGUUGGCCAUUUCAUAAGGUCUUAAUGAGAAGAUUGUUUUUGCUCAAAGCCUGAGAAUGCUGACAGUUAUGAAAAGUUAGAACAUGACAAUGCUGAUGAAAACUGUCGUGCAAUUGAAAACUCCAAAACAAGUGAGGAAGUGGACUCUCUCCAUGAUUCCAUCGAUGAAAAUCAGUUUGCAUCAGACUGUCUGCAGGACAUUUAGCAAAAUGGUUGUCAACAACAUAAUCAAACUUAGCGUCUAAGACAGGGAUGUCAAACUCAUCUUAGUUCAGGUUCCACUUUCAGCCCAGUUUGAUCUCCAGUGGACCGAACCAGUAAAAUAACAGCAUAAUAACCUUUAAAUAACCAUGUUUUCCCAUUGUUUUAAUGCAAAAAAGCACAUUCUGAAAAUGUUCACAUUUAUCUUUUUACAAAACAUCGUCAACAACCUGAAAUUUCUUAAGAAAAACAAGUUCAAUUUCAAAAACAUCGUGCCUCAGUUUUUCAUUUGUGCAUUACAACUUCCAGACCACAGAGUGUCUACAAAGGAACAAAACAUUUAGUCACAGGUACCUCGACCUGAACGAUAUAGUAUUUUACUAUAUGAUCAAAACAAAAGUCAGACAAAAAAAAGUCAAAAAAACAACAAAAACAAGACAAAAUAUUCAAAAAACUAGACACAAAGCGACAAAAAGAUGGACAAAUGACACAAGUGAGACAAAAAAAAGCCAAACGACAAAAACAGGACAAAAUACAACGAAUAAAGUGAAACACAAAAUGACAAGAAUAAGACAAAAAACACAAGCAAGAUAAAAAAGGAAACAAACGAGAAACAAAACGAGAAAAACAUGAGACAAAUGACAAACGUCAGAAAAAAAAAUAAAAGCAAGACAAAUUAUUACAACAACAAGGCACAAAAUGACAAAAACAAUGAGCAAUCUAGCAUUUUACUUUAUGAUCAAAACAACUUGUCAUGGUCUAGAAAUUAUUUUAAAUUUACAAUUUUACAAAUUUAUAAAUUGGCAAUUAAUGUCUUCUCUCUAAUUUUUACACUUUACAAAAUUAUCCUGCGGGCCAGAUUGGACCCAUGGAGGGCCGCUUUUGGCCCGCAGGCCGCAUGUUUGACACCUCUGGUCUAAGAUUUUGUGUUGCACUUUCAAGUUUAAAAGACUCACAAGUGAACAAUUAAAUAAAUGAAAAAAUAUAUAAAAGCAUGGUAAAGAGCUAACCAUGCUGAAUCCUACAUGUCCCAUGAUGCCUUUGGACAGCAUCUUUAACCCUUAAAAGCAUACCAUAGGGUUUUAGUCACCCAGGACCACAUCACACCUGGUGUAAUUCAUACAUAUCACUCAGUCGUGUACUCAGCUCGACGGUAUUCUUCUUUAACAGUGUUCUGUUGUCUAAAUGUCAAAAAUUUGUAAGUUUUAUUACUCCGCCAAGGAACGUGGUGGAGUUAUGUGACAAUCGACGUACGUGAAUCCUUCCAUCUGUUAGCAACAUUACUCAAAAACGGACUAACGGAUUUGGAUUAAAUUUUCAGGGAAGGUCAGAAGUGACACAAGGACCAAGUGAUUAGAUUUUGGCAGUGAUGCAGCUUACAGUCUGGAUCCACGGAUUUGUUAAAGAUUUCUGUAUCAUUGCCAGAUAGCGGCACAGCGUCACUGUAACCAUGACAACAAGUGAACACUACGUCAGCUGCCUGCUGAUGAUCACGAUUGUGAUCCUACUACAAAUCCACCGCUGAGAACUUAUCAGGACUUAUCUGUCGGAAAUGAUACAUGGAACAACUGAUUAAAUCGAGGGUGUUUCUGAGUCCCAUCAAUUCCCGCCGCCCGCUACAUAUUUAGGUCACGUGAUUUGACAUCCGUACAUAACAUACAUAUGCAUAACACACGCCUGUGCUCAGCGCAAGGUCAUAUUGUUUGUGGGUACAUCUAUAUUAAAUGGACAUAUUCUAUGUUGCUGUGAUUUCUGAUCAUCUAACAAAAAAACCCCCUGCAUUUCUAAAAAAAUAUGCUGCAUUUCUGACAAUGCCAUAUGGGGGAAUGAACAGCCUUGGCGCAGUACUGCACUCUCUAAGUGCUCGUCUGGUUUUGCCAAUGUUUUAAUCUUGUAAGUUUACAGUAUAGUCUAGCAUACACUUAUUGACCAAAUUAUUAGGUACAUCUGUAAAAUCACAUGCAAUUCAGUGCAUCUCACUGUCAUAAUAAAUAAAUUCAGACACAAUCAUCCAGUCUGUUACAGUUAGCCUAAGAUGUAGCAUGAGUUGCAGGUGUACAGCAAAACAGCAUUUCCUUUUCUUUGAAAUUGGAUUGCUCUGAUGGCAACAGCUCAGCAUAUGAAGAUGUACCUGAGGCCGCUAAGAAUGAGGACUUAGUUUUAGUGCCGUACAUGAAUCUGAUUCCUUAAAAGUAGAACCAGAGCAUGAGAAUGACAAACUCCCUCAGAGUGCUUCUCAUUUGACCCAAGAGAAGUUAGGACUUAUGAGGGAAUCUCAGAUAGUUGCCUCCGCUGCUUCAGCCGUGGCUCAGGUGGUAGAGUGGGUUGUCCACUUUUCGCAAGGUAGGCGGUUUGAUCUCCGGUCACCUCUGCAUGCCAAAGUGUCUUUGGGCGACACACUGACCAUAAAGCUGCUUCAGAUGGCAGCAGGCACCUCGCAUGGCAGCUCUGUCGCUGUUGGUGUGUGAAUGAGUGAAACAUUGUAAAGCGCUUUGAGUACCACUAAGGUAGAGGUGUGUUAUGUAGGUGCAGACUGUUUAACGCUGCUUUUAGAAAUGCACAAGUAGUUUUCCAGGACAAUUUUCCAAUUUGGUAAACCUGAAGAUCUACCCUGAACACUGUCCUUGAAAACAUUCUGGUGCCACCAUUUCCAAAAACUAAUAAUAGAAGUCUUGAGUUGGUAUAAAAUCAGAACUGCUUCAGGAAAAGAACUUUGAUCUGCUUUUAGGUCCAAUAAAAUUGAACUUUGCCUCUUUGCACCACAACCAGAUUCCAAUAACAACAACUAUGUGAAUGUGGUCAGUGUUUGGUAUGUGCCAUUCUGAGAAGUUACAGUGUAAAAUUACAUAAAUGACUACAAAAUGUUUUAGUGACUUUGUUAUUGUUAGUAAUACCCCCUUAAAAGGUGACAAGGGCUAUGAUGUCCAUAUGUGACUUAAUUAAGACCUUAAGACUCAAACAUUUUAGAGACAAUUUGAUUUUCCAGGCUAAUUCCCCACUUUUUGAACUCCAAACCUACAGGUUGCAGGGCAGGGCAGACUUACUUUUUAACAUUUAGGUCUCAAGCAUGAUCCCCAAUUGUUUUUUUGGUGUGUGGAGUUUUAUAACUUAAAGCUUCUUACAGUAUCUAGAGAAGACAUUUUUUGCACACUGACUCCCUGUGAUGAGUCUACUGAGCCUCUUGUAUAAAACUGGUGGUAUGCCCCUUUAAACACUGCAUCCAGUCUGGUUGAGCUGUUGAACAUGAAACAAAAAAUCAUACAAAUAUAUUGAUGCAGUUUUCCAAUUACCCCAAGGCAAAUGCAAUAGAGGCUGUAAGAGAGUUCCUUUUCGCUCAUUAAAAUCUGCUAAUUGCCUGAUAUUUAUAACCCUGUAACAGCUGAACUGAGUGCAGUUUGACUCAGAUAUUAAAAACUGACAGCCUGCAAAACAAUUAAUUGUCUGUAUUUUCUUGCAGCCUGUGUGUGGUCACUGUACCACAUCUUUUUAAUACACAUGGUGACAGAUGAGUAGUCCUUGCAGCUUUCGAAGUUUCUCAUAAACCAGACUUUUUUUUUCUUUUAAGGCAGUGAGAGCGAUGGAGAUUAUGUGUUGUGGCCUUGAGAGGAAACCUAUGCUGCUACUUGUAUAAACUGUAAAGUAAUCUCACCGUGGAGCUCCGGUUUCUCCCCCCUCGCAGACCUGUCGGCAAAACACGAUCUGGCUAGAUUUGGGAAUAGAGUAAAGGGGAGGCAGGGAGAGAGUUUAUCUGAUACUUUCCAAAAAAAGACCCCCACUAGCCCCCACUUCCCAAGGCAGACCAGGCAGAGACACCACAUCUGGUAAUACUGUAGGCACAUUGUCCUUCCAGGUCUGUGGGCAAAGCUCAGGUUUCCUCAAUAUUUUCCCCUGGUGGAUUCAGUUACCCAAAGGGCACAGCGGGGCUGACGGAGCAGCCAGCGUCACCAGACUUUUCUGAUGAACCAAGGAUGUCUGGGAUGAGCUGAAGGAGCUCUAAAUUUAACCUCAUUCAUCUAAACUGUACAGGCGUGGUCUCGGCUCCUCUGUCCACAUUGUUGUUUCGCUGUGAAUGAAGAAUGGAGAGCUCGACUUCAGAUUUUUACUCAUUCAUUAGAUCCGGACGAAAAUAGUCACUUUUAAACAUGCUCUCUUCUGGUGCUUGAUAAGGGGCCUGGCAGUGUUUCUGUAAGCUAAAAUGUAGUCAUGCAUGCCCCCUGUAAGAGGAAAUGGGCAACUGCAGUCUUAAACAAAUAAGACUCAGGCAAUGGGCAUUUUUUAGAUUUUUUUUUUUUAAAGUUGUUGCCCCUUUUUAAAUGUUUUUAAAAAUGUUGCCACAGUGUAUUUUAUUACUGGUUGCAGAUGUAGUGGUUAGACUUGGACUUGAAUCCCAUUUUUCCUUUGCUGAUAAGCCAAACCCAAGUGAAAUGAAUCUUUAAAUAAUUAGUGGAUUUGAGUAAAAUUGGAGAAAAGCGGACCCUGAGGUCAGAUCAUCACUCAAAAACCUUGUUAACCCCUCUGCUCUCUCUGGACACCGUCUUAAUUCAUCUCACCAUCUGCCUUUUAGCUUCAUUUCAGCCCCUCAGACCGGACUGAUACCUGAUCUCUCUACUGGACUCCUCUAUAAAUACAAAGCAUAAUGAACAAAGGCGAGUCUGGUUGUGCUUUAUGAAAUUGCCAGAAGCUCCCCUAUGCACUGAUAAUGAGUGGCUGAGUUGCAGUUCACCUGGCUUCCAGCACAUCUCACCUCAGAUUAAUUCUCCAAACCAGCUGUUCGGAUGCAAACCUUGGUGGCUCGUGCUUCAAUCAGGGGAGAAAUUGUGGUUUUUAAUCACAAAUGUCAUGGAUGAAUUGAGUGGCACGUCAGUUUUUAUCAAUCUCAUUUAGGAGUUUAAACGGCGCCAUAAGCCAGAAUAAUUUCUAAUGAGGGAGAGACUUAGCAGUCCAGUCCCUGAGCCUGAGGCACUUGAACAGGUCAAGUAGCUGUUGGUGGACGAGUAGACUGUUGGGCAGAUCAAACGAUAAUCUGUGGCUCAAAAUGCCGUCUUCACCCACCUUUUGAUAACAGCUUUGUGCAUUCUCUCAACCACUUUCAUGAGGUCAUCACCUGGAGCUUUUUCAACGUUCUCUGACUUGAUAUUCACUCUUUGGUCCAGCUCAUCCCAAACCAUCUCAGCUGGGUUUAUGUGGGUGAUUGUGGAGGCCACAUGUAGUACUCCAUCACUCUGUUUUUUGCUCAAGCUGCUCUUCCUGAGGUGUUUUUGGCUUGGUUUAUUAACACUAACCCUCACCCUUCAGGUUUUGUUGCAGCAAUUCUUCCAUGAAGGCAUGAUUCACACAGUCUCCUCCCAUCAUUUGCUUCUUGAACUCUAGGAAACAUUGAUGUGGGCUGUAAUCUGAGGUGCUGGUAAUUGUUGAUUCCUGAAGGCGGUAACUCCACUGAACCUCAAAGUUCUUGAAAUCUUCAAUAUUGACUCAUCUACAUGUGUUAAAGUCAUGAUGAACUGACGCUUCUCUGAGCAGUUCUUACCAUAAUAUGGAUUUCUACAGUACUGAAUAGAGACAUUAGAUUUUUAUCAACAGUACUUUGGGACAUCUUAACUGAUGGUCUCACAUUAAAAAGGCAAGAAAUUACACUUGUUAACUUUUGAUAAGGCUUGCCAAAACCGUUUGAUUUAGUAGAGGCACCAAAACCACCGUUAGCUUUAGCAGACGCCCCAAAACCACCGUUAGAUGCAGGAGAGGCACCAAAACGACCAUUAGCUUUAAUAGAGACACAGAAACCACCAUUAGCUUUAGCAGAGGACCCAGAACCACUAUUAGCUUUAGUAGAUGCCCCAAGACCACCGUUAUAUGUAGGAGAGACACCAAAACCACCAUUAGCUUAAGUAGAGGCCCCAAAAUCACCGUUGGAUUUAGUAGAGGCAACAAAACCACCGUUAGCUUUAGCAGACGCUCCAAAACCACCGUUAGAUGCAGGAGAGGCACCAAAACGACCAUUAGCUUUAAUAGAGACACCAAAACCACCAUUAGCUUUAGCAGAGGACCCAAAACCACCGUUGGCUUAAGUAGAGGCCCCAAAAUCACCGUUGGAUUUAGUAGAGGCAACAAAACCACCGUUAGAUUUAGUGGAGGC